rnacentral:rRNA from 1 species
GAAGUUGGAGUCGCUAGUAAUCGCAGAUCAGCAACGCUGCGGUGAAUACGUUCCCGGGCCUUGUACACACCGCCCGUCACGUCAUGAAAGUCGGUAACACCCGAAGCCGGUAGCCUAACCCCUUGUGGGAGGGAGCCGUCGAAGGUGGGAUCGGCGAUUGGGACGAAGUCGUAACAAGGUAGCCGUACCGGAAGGUGCGGCUGGAUCACCUCCUUU